rnacentral:rRNA from 1 species
GUGGGGAAUUUUGCGCAAUGGGGGAAACCCUGACGCAGCAACGCCGCGUGAGUGAUGAAGGCCUUCGGGUCGUAAAGCUCUGUCAGAGGGGAAGAAAUGCAGGGGUGCUAAUAUCAUCUUUGCUUGACGGUACCCUCAAAGGAAGCACCGGCUAACUCCGUGCCAGCAGCCGCGGUAAUACGGAGGGUGCGAGCGUUGUUCGGAAUUAUUGGGCGUAAAGCGCGUGUAGGCGGUUUGGUAAGUCUGAUGUGAAAGCCCCGGGCUCAACCUGGGAAGUGCAUUGGAAACUGUCAGACUUGAAUACGGGAGAGGGUAGUGGAAUUCCUAGUGUAGGAGUGAAAUCCGUAGAUAUUAGGAGGAACACCGGUGGCGAAGGCGGCUACCUGGACCGAUAUUGACGCUGAGACGCGAAAGCGUGGGGAGCAAACAGGAUUAGAAACCCCGGUAGUCC